AUGAAUUCACAGGCUUGUGUACUUCAGCUCAAAGGUCUUGAGAUAAGCAGAGGAAAGAUGCGUUGAAAAUUUGUUUGUCAAGUGGAAUCCAAGAAGAUAACAACAUACAA